UACGUAGGGUGCAAGCGUUGUCCGGAAUUAUUGGGCGUAAAGAGCUCGUAGGCGGUUUGUCGCGUCGAAUGUGAAAACCCGGGGCUCAACCCCGGGCCUGCAUUCGAUACGGGCAGACUAGAGUUCGGUAGGGGAGUCUGGAAUUCCUGGUGUAGCGGUGAAAUGCGUAGAUAUCAGGAGGAACACCGGUGGCGAAGGCGGGACUCUGGGCCGAUACUGACGCUGAGGAGCGAAAGCGUGGGGAGCAAACAGG
rnacentral:rRNA from 1 species